GUCAUACGGUAACGUGGCCGAGCGGUCUAUAAGGCGCUGGUUUUAGGCACCAGUCUCUUCGGAGGCGUGGGUUCGAAUCCCACCGUUGACA